UACGAAGGGUGCAAACGUUGCUCGGAAUCAUUGGGCGUAAAGCGCACGUAGGCGGCCUGUUAAGUCGGAUGUGAGAUCCCUCGGCUCAACCGAGGACGUGCAUACGAAACUGGCAGGCUCGAGUAUGGAAGAGGGUCGCGGAAUUCCCGGUGUAGAGGUGAAAUUCGUAGAUAUCGGGAAGAACACCCGUGGCGAAGGCGGCUCUCUGGGACGGUACUGACGCUGAGACGCGAAAGCGUGGGGAGCGAACAGG
rnacentral:rRNA from 1 species